rfam:Ophiocordyceps sinensis CO18 unplaced genomic scaffold OCS_Scf_840, whole genome shotgun sequence.
GGUAUUUUGGCCGAGUGGUUAAGGCGCCGCCCUGCUAUGCCUCUAUCGGAAGGUUGUAUAAGUCAGGCGGUGGGUUCGCCCGCGUAGGUUCGAAUCCUGCAGAUAUCG